rnacentral:rRNA from 1 species
GUGAACGCUGGCGGCGUGCCUAAUACAUGCAAGUCGAACGAUGAAGCUCUAGCUUGCUAGAGUGGAUUAGUGGCGCACGGGUGAGUAAUGCAUAGAUAACAUGCCCUUUAGUCUAGGAUAGCCAUUGGAAACGAUGAUUAAUACUGGAUACUCCUUACGAGGGAAAGUUUUUCGCUAAAGGAUUGGUCUAUGUCCUAUCAGCUUGUUGGUGAGGUAAUGGCUCACCAAGGCUAUGACGGGUAUCCGGCCUGAGAGGGUGAACGGACACACUGGAACUGAGACACGGUCCAGACUCCUACGGGAGGCAGCAGUAGGGAAUAUUGCUCAAUGGGGGAAACCCUGAAGCAGCAACGCCGCGUGGAGGAUGAAGGUUUUCGGAUUGUAAACUCCUUUUGUUAGAGAAGAUAAUGACGGUAUCUAACGAAUAAGCACCGGCUAACUCCGUGCCAGCAGCCGCGGUAAUACGGAGGGUGCAAGCGUUACUCGGAAUCACUGGGCGUAAAGAGCGCGUAGGCGGGAUAGCAAGUCAGAUGUGAAAUCCUAUGGCUUAACCAUAGAACUGCAUUUGAAACUGUUAUUCUAGAGUAUGGGAGAGGUAGGUGGAAUUCUUGGUGUAGGGGUAAAAUCCGUAGAGAUCAAGAGGAAUACUCAUUGCGAAGGCGACCUGCUAGAACAUAACUGACGCUGAUGCGCGAAAGCGUGGGGAGCAAACAGGAUUAGAUACCCUGGUAGUCCACGCCCUAAACGAUGAAUGCUAGUUGUUGUGGAGCUUGUCUCUGCAGUAAUGCAGCUAACGCAUUAAGCAUUCCGCCUGGGGAGUACGGUCGCAAGAUUAAAACUCAAAGGAAUAGACGGGGACCCGCACAAGCGGUGGAGCAUGUGGUUUAAUUCGAAGAUACACGAAGAACCUUACCUAGGCUUGACAUUGAUAGAAUCCGCUAGAGAUAGUGGAGUGCUAGCUUGCUAGAACUUGAAAACAGGUGCUGCACGGCUGUCGUCAGCUCGUGUCGUGAGAUGUUGGGUUAAGUCCCGCAACGAGCGCAACCCUCGUCCUUAGUUGCUAACUAUUCGGUAGAGCACUCUAAGGAGACUGCCUUCGCAAGGAGGAGGAAGGUGAGGAUGACGUCAAGUCAUCAUGGCCCUUACGCCUAGGGCUACACACGUGCUACAAUGGGAAGCACAAAGAGAUGCAAUAUUGUGAAAUGGAGCAAAUCUAUAAAACUUCUCUCAGUUCGGAUUGUAGUCUGCAACUCGACUACAUGAAGCUGGAAUCGCUAGUAAUCGUAAAUCAGCUAUGUUACGGUGAAUACGUUCCCGGGUCUUGUACUCACCGCCCGUCACACCAUGGGAGUUGUAUUCGCCUUAAGUCGGAAUGCCAAACUGGCUACCGCCCACGGCGGAUG